CCUACGGGAGGCAGCAGUGGGGAAUAUUGGACAAUGGGCGGAAGCCUGAUCCAGCAACGCCGCGUGAGGGAUGACGGCCUUCGGGUUGUAAACCUCUUUCAGGAUUGACGAAGCUGUGCCUUUUUGGGUGUGGUGACGGUAGGUCCAGAAGAAGCACCGGCCAACUACGUGCCAGCAGCCGCGGUAAU
rnacentral:rRNA from 1 species